UGGCCGAGACUGGAGCCUUUCAUCAAACUCGGAGGAGUCUCUUCCUGGUUCAACGUGACUCCCAGCCAGCGACGUGGGCAAGGGCAGGGUUCUGCUGAGCACUGGCUCUGAGUCACUUAGAUCCGGAGCACUACCCCCCUACCAGGAAGCAGAUCAAUGGGUCAUUCAUCUCUCAUUUCCUCUUCUCUGGAGGCACCUGCCCCAUGAAGCUGGCUACUGGCUAUUUAACCUGUUCUCUCCUUUGCACGUCCCUACCCAUGCCCCCAGGAGCUUCUCCAGUCUUCUCCCCUCUCUGCUUGCAGCCGGCCAGCAUCAGGCCAGAGAACUAUUUGCAUUCCCAGGGUUACAGCACUGCCAGUUUCCUCCUGAUCUCGCCUGCAUGCUAGAUGUGCUGCCGACACAUAAAGAUGCCUCUAAGAGCAGCAGUAAGGCCUCCAAAAUUACUGAACAGAAUGGAUCUGCUUUAAGAGCAUGUGUUUCGCAUAUGUCUCUGUAUUCAAAGACAUUCUGUGACCUCUCUCCUGCCAAAAAAUGUUUCUAAACCGCAGCUAUUUUUUGGAUGCAACGUGGUUAAGAGCACAAGGUGGCAUCACAUAUCCUCAGACAGGCAUUGAGGAACAGCAUCUCCAACCGAAAUUGUUUAAUGGAAGCAGGAUGCAACUACCUGAGCUGGAAUUUCUCUCAGACACUGUGUUUUUGGAAUCAGAUGUCCUGGAUUCAGGAUGUCCUGGAUUCUUCCCUUGCUGUCCUGUGUAACGAAUAUAACCGUGUUAGCUGACGGGCCCAGAAUCUUUUUAAUUGCUCUGCUGCUGCCUACCAUGGCCCUGUUCUGUGAAUAAUAAAAGGGAGUUCAUUCUC